AAUGAACGCUGGCGGCAUGCCUAACACAUGCAAGUCGAACGAAGGCUUCGGCCUUAGUGGCGCACGGGUGCGUAACGCGUGGGAAUCUGCCCUUGGGUUCGGAAUAGCAGUUAGAAAUGACUGCUAAUACCGGAUGAUGUCGUAAGACCAAAGAUUUAUCGCCCAAGGAUGAGCCCGCGUAGGAUUAGCUAGUUGGUGGGGUAAAGGCCUACCAAGGCGACGAUCCUUAGCUGGUCUGAGAGGAUGAUCAGCCACACUGGGACUGAGACACGGCCCAGACUCCUACGGGAGGCAGCAGUGGGGAAUAUUGGACAAUGGGCGAAAGCCUGAUCCAGCAAGGCCGCGUGAGUGAUGAAGGCCUUAGGGUUGUAAAGCUCUUUUACCCGGGAUGAUAAGGACAGUACCGGGAGAAUAAGCUCCGGCGAACUUCGU
rnacentral:rRNA from 1 species